rnacentral:rRNA from 1 species
GACGAACGCUGGCGGCGUGCCUAAUACAUGCAAGUAGAACGCUGGAGGAGGAGCUUGCUCUUCUGGAUGAGUUGCGAACGGGUGAGUAACGCGUAGGUAACCUGCCUGGUAGCGGGGGAUAACUAUUGGAAACGAUAGCUAAUACCGCAUAACAGUAGAUGUUGCAUGACAUUUACUUAAAAGGUGCAAUUGCAUCACUACCAGAUGGACCUGCGUUGUAUUAGCUAGUUGGUGGGGUAACGGCUCACCAAGGCGACGAUACAUAGCCGACCUGAGAGGGUGAUCGGCCACACUGGGACUGAGACACGGCCCAGACUCCUACGGGAGGCAGCAGUAGGGAAUCUUCGGCAAUGGACGGAAGUCUGACCGAGCAACGCCGCGUGAGUGAAGAAGGUUUUCGGAUCGUAAAGCUCUGUUGUAAGAGAAGAACGAGUGUGAGAGUGGAAAGUUCACACUGUGACGGUAUCUUACCAGAAAGGGACGGCUAACUACGUG